UACGAAGGGUGCAAACGUUGCUCGGAAUUAUUGGGCGUAAAGCGCACGUAGGCGGCUUGGUAAGUUGGAUGUGAAAUCCCUCGGCUUAACCAAGGAAGUGCAUCCAAAACUACUGAGCUUGAGUACUAAAGAGGAUCGCGGAAUUCCCGGUGUAGAGGUGAAAUUCGUAGAUAUCGGGAGGAACACCAGUGGCGAAGGCGGCGAUCUGGGUAGAUACUGACGCUGAGGUGCGAAAGCGUGGGGAGCGAACAGG
rnacentral:rRNA from 1 species